rnacentral:lncRNA from 1 species
ACUGCAGGCUGGGGCUCCGCUCCCCGGCGGGAGCCCGCGCGUGGUUCCCAGCGAAGUCCCCGCGCGGCUGGGCCCAGCGUGAGUAUUCUCCGCCCGCUGUCCUCCCCCUGGAGGCGGCAGCGCCCGUUUAUUUGAGGCUUCUAAUGUGAGGAAAAACACGGAAUGACAAGUGUGGGAAAGAGCAAGCACUAAAUUACUGUCAGAAAAAUAAACGGAGUAGCACAGUGCUGCUCGGUGAUUUACGGGGGCAAUUAGUCACCACCCCACGGCGCUGCUGAGGACAGCACGGCAGCAGACAAGUCAGGCCCAUGAGGAAGAAGAGGCUUUGCACUGCUCUCCAGACAACUUUUCAAACAACAAGAGAGGAUAUUUGAGCACAUUAGGUUUUGUGUCUUCAUUCUGGAGACUAAGUUAGAGACCCAGAUGGAGUGGACAUCUUGCCAUCUGUCCCGAAGCUGCAACUUUCCUGAUUCUCCUUGCUUUCAUCAAUGAAUGGCACUACCAUUGUCCUCAUACAGGAAUAUGGAUACCUAUUCCUGAAGAUUCAUCCUUUGCUAUUCCUCCCAAAUAUGGCUAGACAUUUUCACUUCUGGUUACAGUAUCAUAUUUCAGGGUGCAUUCAGAUGUAGAUUUCCAACCUGUCCUGAAC